rnacentral:rRNA from 1 species
AGUGAACGCUGGCGGUAGGCCUAACACAUGCAAGUCGAACGGCAGCACAGUAAGAGCUUGCUCUUACGGGUGGCGAGUGGCGGACGGGUGAGGAAUACAUCGGAAUCUACUUUUUCGUGGGGGAUAACGUAGGGAAACUUACGCUAAUACCGCAUACGACCUACGGGUGAAAGCAGGGGAUCUUCGGACCUUGCGCGAUUGAAUGAGCCGAUGUCGGAUUAGCUAGUUGGCGGGGUAAAGGCCCACCAAGGCGACGAUCCGUAGCUGGUCUGAGAGGAUGAUCAGCCACACUGGAACUGAGACACGGUCCAGACUCCUACGGGAGGCAGCAGUGGGGAAUAUUGGACAAUGGCGCAAGCCUGAUCCAGCCAUACCGCGUGGGUGAAGAAGGCCUUCGGGUUGUAAAGCCCUUUUGUUGGGAAAGAAAAGCAGCAGGCUAAUACCCCGCUGUUCUGACGGUACCCAAAGAAUAAGCACCGGCUAACUUCGUG